rnacentral:rRNA from 1 species
UACAGGGGCCUCGAGCGUUAAUCGGAAUCACUGGGCUUAAAGGGUGCGCAGGCGGUCCGGAAAGUGUCCCGUGAAAUCCCACGGCUCAACCGUGGAACUGCGGGGCAAACUUCCGGACUUGAGGAAGGUAGAGGCCGUUGGAACGAUAGGUGGAGCGGUGGAAUGCGUAGAGAUCUAUCGGAACGCCGAAGGUGAAGACAGACGGCUGGGCCUUUCCUGACGCUCAGGCACGAAAGCGUGGGGAGCAAACCGG